CGCGAAGUUGGCUUUCCCCGUGGCCGCCUCCUCUUCCUCUUCUGCAAAGGAAGGGCUGGCGCGCUCCGCUUUUAGCACCCUCCGGGCACGAGGCGUGCAGCUGCUUACGCACGCUCCGUUCUAGAACUCCGCGCGGUGGAAGCCGCGGGCGGCGGACUCGCUUCGCGUUCGCAGCCCUACGGUAAAAGGUUGCAUUGCUAAGAAAGAAAGAAAGAAAGGGGGGGGAGCUUUGCAUUGCUGCACCUAUUGAAGAGAGGAAUUAAGUGGGGGUGAUUGCAAUAACCCACCUAAGAUCUGACUCCUGUGAAAAUCCUGCCUUUUUUCUGGCGGGGAAAGGGAGCAAGGCCUUGUUGUGAUUACAUCCCUUCUCCCUGCGAGGAUUUGAUUCCUUAGGCGUGCAUUCCUCUCUUGCCGGCGUUGCAGUAGUUGUUCACCGAUAUUUCUUUGCCUCCUCCACCCUCCACUAGUUCAGGUGGCAAUCUUAGCUGUUAAGGUGCCACGAAACUAUUGUUUGUACUGCAGCAGGUUAUUAACCUGGCUACCCCUCUGGUAAUUGUUGGAUUUUAUAAAGGGAUGAAAUUGUUAGUUUAAAUGUAGCAGUUGCAAGAGUGGUAGCUGCGUUAAUCGGUUGCAUGUUCACAAUGCGGCGGUCGUUUCAUACAAGGGUCCCUUCAAAGGGGCAGCCCCAAUCUGUGGUUUCAACACAUUUGAACCAUCAGCACAUAGCAGAAGGGUGACAUUAAGUUGUUCUGUUGUGCUUCAGAUGCUGCUUCCUUGUGUCGCACCAGGAAUCCCAAAAGCAGCAUCCAAUGUACCAUCUUCACAAGAAAGGCAGUACCAAAGAUGCUUAAGUGAAUUCUUAAGACACUCCUAUAAUCUGGUCUGUCACAUUGCUUUUGUUGACAUCACUUUUUUGUGACGGUGGUAAUGGAGGCAGCACAAGUCAGAAGUCCUAUUACACUGGGGAACUGGAGUCCUUAUAAGUGUGUGUAGGAUAUAAUAGCAUCCCGAAACUGUUUCUACUUUCAUAAUGCAGAACCUGCACUUGAGAGGCACAUUGAUACUGAUCAGCCACACUUGCCUUUGAUCCCUCCCCUCCUCUGCCCCCUCCUUUUAUGUUCCUUUGGAAUUUACAUCACUCCUAAAGAAUUCCCUGCAGCCUUUCAGGUGUGAAGAUGGAACUGCACAGCCCCUUCCUGUGAAGAACUGGCCCCUCCUAAUCCUCUUCAUCUCAUUGGGCAAACUCUGCAGAGGGUAAGACUGCAGGUUGUAAACUGUGCAGUGGCUUAAGCAUGUGGUGAAGGGAAACAAAAGCUGCAAAAACAAGCACCUACAUAGCAACACUGACAUUCUUACAGUGUUGCUGGCAAGCUUAUUGCUGCACACCAGUCAUGAAGUUUCCACCUGAAGACAUCCUUAAAAUUAGCCAUUCAGACAACCAGAAAGAGAUCUGCACACAUUCCGCAGCUCAGACCACUUAAUACAAACUAUGGUCACAAACUCCACCACUCGCAGUGCGGUGUCAGUUUCUGCAAACUCCUGAUUGCUGUCCCAUUGGAAACGUUAGUGAGAGAUCCUCGGCCUUCAGGACAGUAUCUGUCAUUAGUUUCCUUCAUGAAACCUACGGUCAUCCUGGAAUAAUAGCAUGCGCACCAGUCUAAGAAAACCUGUCAUGAAAUUAAUUCCACUGGUGAAGUAAAGCAGCAGGCCGCUUCAGGCUAAGGAACAGUGGGUUGAAUCCAAGGUAGUGCUAAGGCAAUUGUUUCAUCGUCACAAAGAUUUCUGCUUGUGCCACAGAAUGUUCUCUCCUCCCCCAUGCACCUUUUAGAACUUCCAGGGGUUCCUCCAGCCCUCUGGAACAGAUUUGAGGAGGGCAUGGGGCAGAGAAGGAGGAUAGGGGAUAAAGUCCCAUUUCACAAGUGGAAAUCCUUGUACUGACAGGAUUCAUUAGUAGAAUGUCUCCAAAUGAAUAGAAUGUAAAAGGGACACUUACAAUGAUUGUUUACCUUAUUGAUUAAUGGCUGCAAUCCAACACAUAGUUUAGCUCCUAAACUCCCAGUGAACUUGAUGAGAUUUAAGGAUCCUAACUAUAUGCAGACUUGCAACCUUAGCAUUCCUUCUCAUUUUCUGUAGUCACAAUCCUUUGGCUGGCAAAACAGAGGUCACUGCCCAGAUCCUGCUAAUAACGGAUUUAGCUGGACUGAGCUGCUUAUAUUAGCACUUCAGCAAUAUCUGAUCUUGUUAAUUUCUAAAUGAGAAUCCACAUAUAAAUGUCAGACGGAGAAAAUACUUUCUGGGCAUAACAGAAUUGUGUACUUAAACUAAAUUGGUUUUCUAACAAAUCUCAUAAACAGAUUUCUACCAGAUCUAUGUACUGGGAAAGGGAGGAACGGCAUUAUUGACCAGAUACACUAAUUUCUGCAAAUGAUUCUAAACAACUGACAUUUAAAAGUAAAUUGAUGUUUAUAUAUGUAUUUAUUUAAACAAUUUAUACCCUACCCUUUGAUUGCAAUCACAAUACUCAGGAUGGCUUGCUAGAAUUUAAAAAUUGCACUCCCUAAUCAUCAUCAUCAUCAUCGAAUAAAACACUAAAAGUUACCAAGGUAAAAAAUAUCACACCAUAGAGUAGCCCCCCCAAAAUUCUUAAGCUCAGCAGGCCAAAAGCUUGCCAGAACAGAAAUAUCUUGACUAAGCAUUAAAAAACCAAUAAUACUUGCAAUAACAUCUAUGUCAGACAUGACAAACUCAUAACAUAAGACUCUUGCAGCAGAUGGUUAAAUGCAUCACUUCAAACAGAAGCAGCAGACACAGGCGAUUAGUAUCAGGAACUAUUGGGGAUAUGUGGAUUUAAACCUUUCUUCCUGUGCCAUGAUUCUGGCAACUUGCCCCACCUCAGUUGCCACUCCCUUUGGAGGGCCUCUCACACUGACUGUAAAAACCGGAAUGCUUAAUACACAUACAGUGGUACCUCGGGUUACAGACGCUUCAGGUUACAGACUCCUGUAACCCAGAAAUAGUACUUCGGGUUAAGAACUUUGCUUCAGGAUGAGAACAGAAAUCAUGCUCUGGCGCCACGGUGGCAGCUGGAGGCCCCAUUAGCUAAAGUGGUGCUUCAGGUUAAGAACAGUUUCAGGUUAAGAACGGACCUCUGGAAUGAAUUAAGUACUUAACCUGAGGUACCACUGUAUCUUGUAAAAUCUUUGCACCACACAGUCAUCCAGAGUCUUCCACAAUGUCUCAUAUGUAUUAUCUUACCCUUCCAGCUCAGUAUAGUUUACGUAGUUGCUCUGCCACCAUUUGUGCACUUAGGGAAUUUUUAAUUAUUAUUUGUUUUAAGGAUUUAUACUGACCAUUCAAUCCAGUGAUUACAGACUGAUGGAAAGUAUGGAAGAAAGGAAGAAAGAGAGAGAGAAAGCCACACAUCCCAAAGCACACAUAGCAUCCAAAACACACCUCCUUGCAUUUGGCAGUUGAGGCUGUAUGUUCUUUCUAGGUGGGGUAUGGCUCAGUGGUUAAACACAUAUUUUGUCUAUGAAAAGUCCUAGAUUCAAUCCCUGGUAUCUUCAAGUAGAGCUAGGAAAAGACUCCUCUGAAACUAGCCACUUCUAUUCUUUGUUGACAAUGCUGAGCUAAAUGGACCAGUGAUCCGACUUGGCUUCUGAUGGUCCUUGCUGGCAGGGAUGGUGCGAGGAGCAAUCUGUCUGCCACUGUUCAUUCUCUGGUUGAUGUACGAUGACGGAUCUCUUGGUAAACCUUUGUCUUCUGCUUUUCUCUCUCCUCAUAUUUUUAAUGGUUGUACUGGCAGAGUGGCCAAACCCUGGAGUGGCAAAGUAGAGUCGCUGGGCAUUACUUUCCACAGAAAAAAGCAGGUAUCCCUGGGCAAACCGGCAGGGCAAAUGGAAAACGGUUUGGACCCAUGCCUAGAAAGCACGAGAUGAGCAGAAAACUCCAUGCCCAUGUUGGCUCCUCAUUUAUAUUCUUCCUUUGUGAUUUGCCCCUUCUAUUUCCUAUACAUGUCACAUUUAAAUCCCUGCUCAUCUGAAAGCUCCUUAUACAGCCACACUAGUUUCUUUAGAUGCUUCCCACUUUUAUUUCUUGGAAGGCAAUUCAAUACCUCACAUUUAGGAAUCUCAUCCGUCAUGAACUCCCUGUUAUUUGUCUGUAAGCCUCCACUCAAAUAAUUUAAAGAUUUUUAGGUUUUCUAAAACCGAAAAUGUCCAUUUAGGAACUUUUAUGGCACAAUAAAGAUGUAUUUAGAUCAAGAGAAAUGAAUGAGGAUGUAUGCAACUGGGGAAAAACUAUUUACAGAGACAGUUCUUUGAGGGGAAACAAUGCAUCUGUAGCAAGGUGGGAGGACUGUUAUAUAAGGAAGGCUGUUUAGGGACACCGUUAAUAAAGUCACAAAUGACAUGUGGGUUUGUUUUAUUUUUUUCAUGAAGAAGGUAUAACCAAGAUUGGAGGAGGGAAGAAGCAAUGUUAUACCCAUUGCUUUAACAUUUUUGAUUUUAUUUGGGAGGGGAGGAGGCAAGCUUUAAAGCAAUUUAGAAUAUUUAAAAUAUCUAGAAACAUUCCCUUCUUUUUUGCUAAAAGGAAAGAGAAUGCAUGGUGAUAGCAAAAGGAUGUGUUGAUCAGAUCCAAGGCAACUGACCACGGAUGAGUAUGCUGAUAAUGUACUUGCUACCUUCUGUGGCGACGACGUUAGAAAAAGGGAAUUGCAGCCUAGAGAUGACAAACUGGGAGGAAGGAGUAGGAAGCACUCAAACCAUAAGUUUCCGGCCUUUGUGACUUAUCCCAACAAUAUCAAAAUAAGCUCCAAUAAACAAGAGGGGAAGACUCGAGAACAACGGAAGCAGAUCUCAGAACACUCCAAGCGGCCUUUGGAAGGCACAGCUCAUAGAAUGAUCCCUGCUACUCCCCAGAAGAGGAGGAGACGAGUGCUGGUGAUAGGUGACUCCCUACUGAGGGGAACAGAGGCAGUAGUGUGUGGAGGAAACAGGAUGUCACGCAAGGUCUGCUGUCUUCCGGAUACAAAGAUUCACGAUGUGAUGGAGAAGUUGCCAAGUCUUAUGAAGCCCAGUGGCCACUACCCCUUAUUUCUGAUCCAUGCGGGUACAAAUGAUACUGCCGCACAUAGCCUGCAACACAUAGCAAGGGACUAUGAGACACUGGGCAGGGAGCCGAAGAGACUUGGGGCACUGGUAGUCUUUUCAUCACUCCUUGUUGAAGGUUGUGGCCCAAGAAAAGAGAGGAAAAUACUUGAGAUAAACCACUGGCUGCACAGGUGGUGUCGUCAGGAAGGAGUUGGCUUCUUGGAUCGUGGUCUCCGCUUCCUUGAGGAAGAAUGUGCUGUCAAACCUCCCUUGGCCAAUGGGGACAGCAGCCCCAAGCACCCUCUCCUUGCUUGCCAGCAACCUCACCUUUUGAUAGUGUGGUGCACCUAGAGAAGAGGGUUGGCAGAUCAUCUCAGUAACUGGGUCGAUUUGAGGGGCUGGAAGCAGGGACAGACUUUGAUAAUAUAGUGCCCUGAGUGACAACAAAAAUUGGCACACCCAAAAUAUUUGUUAUUUUCACAAGAAUUCAUUUUUGUACAGUUGUUUUUUUAUGGAUCUUCUCAAUAGGUACCCAUGUAAUACAGGUAUUAUUAUUAUUAUUAUUUUAUUUUGUGCCACCUGUGGGGGGGGAACCACCCACACUGCUCUAAAUCUGGUAUUGCUGGAAGAUUUCUGCAGAAGUAUCUGUCAUUUGUAUGAAUAAAAAGUGGC
rnacentral:lncRNA from 1 species